AUUUAUCUUUUGUUAGGAAAAAUGAGACAGAUGAAUAUAGGUGGAUAAACCAGCGAAUGACUUGGACAGAAGCUCAGAGUUACUGCAGAGAGCAUUACACAGAUCUGCCCAGUGUGAGAAACCAAACAGAUAAUCACAGAAUCUUUAACCUUACUGGGGGCUCUGCUGCUUGGAUUGGCCUGUACAGGACCAGACUGUGGUCAGACAAAAAGGAAUCUGCAUAUGAAAACUGGAGACCAGCUAUCCCAAAUAGACCUGCAGAGCCAGACAAUGGUGUGAAUACUAUGUGGCAAUAUAAUAACCAGCACUGCACUGCUGUAUCAUUCAGAGAUUCAGGCCAGUGGACAGAUGAGUACUGCUUCGCUACACUUCCUUUCAUCUGCUAUAACAAAUCCUGCACAGGAUCAUCAUGCACCCACCAUCAGUAUCACUUUAUUAAUGAGAAUAAGACUUGGACUGAUGCACAGAGGUACUGCCGAGACAAAUACACUGACUUGGCAACCGUUGAUAACAUGGAGGAAAUGAACAUACUCCGUAACACAGUGAAUGAAACCUACUCUGGUUUAGCCUGGAUUGGACUGUAUGAUGAUCUAAACAGCUGGAAAUGGUCUCUGGAUGAUGAUUCUUUCUACAUGAUAAAAGAGAGAAGCUUUAGAAAUUGGUAUAUAUCUAAACCACUAUACUGGUUUGAAAACAGCUUGUGUGUAUACAUCUCCAGUUUUAAUGGAGAGUGGUGGGUGGACUCUUGUUCUGUGGCACGUCCAUUUAUUUGUUUUGAUGGUAGGGUGAAUGCCAGUAAAAGUUAUAUACUGGUUUAUAAGAACAUGAACUGGACUGAUGCUCAGAGAUACUGCAGAGAUCAUUACACAGACCUGAUCAGUGUGAGGAACGAGACUGAGAACCAGAAGAUCAGAUCAUUCAUAUCUAAUUUCAUUUCUUUAAAUCCUGUAUAUUAUUAUAAUUAUUAUAAUUAUUAUUAUCAUUAUUAUUAUUAUUAUAUGUGGAUCGGCCUGUACAGAACCAGGUCUUGGUCAGAUAAAAGCAACUCUUCUUUCAACAACUGGAAACCUGGACAACCAGAUAAUUAUGCACAGGAUGAAUUCUGUACUGCUGUGUCAUUUACUGAUCUUGGGAAAUGGACAGAUGAAAACUGUGUUAAAGCUUUUCCAUUCCUCUGUUACAAAAUCACUGCGUCAUCAUCUCGCCAGUAUUACUUUGUUAAUGAGAAUAAGACCUGGACUGAUGCACAAAAGUUCUGCAGAAAAAUUACACUGAUCUGGCUACUAUUGAUAACAUGGAGGAAAUGGACAGCCUUCUUAUGACAGCAAAUGACAGCUUCUCAGGUUUAGCCUGGAUUGGCCUGUAUGAUGAUCUGGACAGCUGGAGAUGGUCUCUGGAUAAUGAUACUUUCUACCAAGAGGGAGAGAGAGACUACAGAGGAUGGUCUCAUCAACCUGAUAAUUAUUAUGGAAAUGAGAUGUGUGUUUACAUUAAUUACAAAGGGGAAUGGUUUGAUCAGCCUUGUACUGUCCAAAAGACAUUUGUCUGCUAUAAUGGUACCCACGACAGAUAUGUGUGGAUUUAUAAUUCAAUGACUUGGGAGGACGCUCAGAGAUUCUGCAGAGCAAAUCACAGAGACCUGGCAAGUGUGAGGAAUGAAACCGAACUUCAGAGAAUACUGAACAUCACGAACGGCUUUGAAGUAUGGAUAGGUCUGUAUAGGAACCGAUUAUGGUCAGAU